rnacentral:rRNA from 1 species
UACGAGUGCCUCAAGCGUUAUCCGGAAUUAUUGGGCGUAAAGGGUGCGCAGACUGCUAUGUUAGUCUCUUGUUAAAGCCUACGGCUCAACCGUAGAAGCGCAAGGGAAACGGCAUAGCUUGAGCAUGUGAGGGGUCUAGGGAACUCUAGGUGUAGGGGUGAAAUCCGUUGAUAUCUAGGGGAACACCAAAGCGAAGGCACUAGACUGGCACAUUUCUGACGUUCAUGCACGAAAGCGUGGGUAGCGAAUGGG